GUCUACGGCCAUACCACCCUGAACGUGCCUGAUCUCGACUGAUCUUGGAAGCUAAGCAGGGCUGGGCCUGGUUAGUACUUGGAUGGGAGAAAGUCACUUCUGCUUUUGUCU
ensembl:rRNA 5S_rRNA 5S ribosomal RNA